rnacentral:rRNA from 1 species
CGAAAGCCUGACGGAGCAACGCCGCGUGAGGGAUGAAGGCCUCUGGGCUGUAAACCUCUUUUAUCAAGGAAGAAGAUCUGACGGUACUUGAUGAAUAAGCCACGGCUAAUUCCGUGCCAGCAGCCGCGGUAAUACGGGAGUGGCAAGCGUUAUCCGGAAUUAUUGGGCGUAAAGCGUCCGCAGGCGGCCUUGUAAGUCUGUCGUCAAAGCGUGCAGCUUAACUCCAUUUAAGCGAUGGAAACUGCAAGGCUAGAGUGUGGUAGGGGCAGAGGGAAUUCCCGGUGUAGCGGUGAAAUGCGUAGAUAUCGGGAAGAACACCAGUGGCGAAGGCGCUCUGCUGGGCCAUAACUGACGCUCAUGGACGAAAGCCAGGGGAGCG